rnacentral:rRNA from 1 species
UACGGAGGGUGCAAGCGUUAUCCGGAUUCACUGGGUUUAAAGGGUGCGUAGGUGGGCUAGUAAGUCCGUGGUGAAAUCUCCAAGCUUAACUUGGAAACUGCCGUGGAUACUAUUAGUCUUGAAUAUUGUGGAGGUAAGCGGAAUAUGUCAUGUAGCGGUGAAAUGCUUAGAUAUGACAUAGAACACCGAUAGUGAAGACAGCUUACUAGGCUUAUACUGACGCUGAGGCACGAAAGUGUGGGGAUCAAACAGG